CGCUAAGUUUGUGUGUUGUAUCAGUCAGCAGGAGAAGUGUCGUUCUCCGUCACUCUCGUGGCAGGGUGGGCGGCGCUCUCUCUCUCGCCUUAUUACAAUUGCUAAUGCAGCGAGCCGGGUCUCGACGUAGUGCGACGCUACUAUCUCAUUCAUACUUUUGCAUACACAAGUCCUUUUUAACAUGCAAAGGCUGUUUCCUAGCCAGCUAUCUGCAUCCCGGGCGAGAGAGGCAAGCCAGCCAGUGUUUCCUCGGCCUUCUGUUGGGACGCACCUACGCCUUUCACACGGCUACUGUUCCACCGGGACCUGGUGCUUCCUCUGCACCGGAACCAAAGCAUCCGUCCUGCACCGAAACUAUCGACCCGCUCGAUAUCGACCGCCCAGCACCCGCGUGUUUGUGUGGAAAGUGAGGUUAGGUUCGAUUAGGCGCGCGGCUAGAAAGCGCGGUAAGAAUGGGCGGGAAAAAGUGGUGGGGAGGAAAGGAUGGUGGUUAUCGUUGAUGCAGAUUUGAUGGGGCAACUGGAGUCACUUAAUUUCCGGAGAAGUUGACAUCAACUAGGAAAAUAUGAUACUUUUGCUUCAUAAAGAAGGAGUUGUGAACUUGGAAUGCAAGCAACAACCUCGUGAAUCAUCAUAACUAUUGCAGAUUCCAGAUAGAAAGCGAUCAUUGUACUAAAUGUACUAAACGGCUUGGGAUUGGGACACAAAUAAUUGACAUUCACGAAGUUUUCAAAUUCAAAAGAAUGGAGUGGAACGGCACAUUUUUUACAUACUCCGGCCUUCGAUCUGGCAUCACCUCUUUCCCAUUCUCUCUAUUUUUUCGAGUUAAUAAUGAAUGCUAUUAUUCAUCGAAAAAUGAUACCACGCCUAGAUGGCUCGCCAAGAUUUCAUCUUCAAUCAAUCAAUCAAUUUUAUUAGAAAAACAUUUUUACAUUGUUGGGUCCUGCUAAACCCGUGGGUUUUUCAGCAGGUGCCAGAUCAAAAACAAAAUUAUUCACAACGUUAAAUUAAAAUUAAGAAUAAAUAAAAUAAAAUAGCUUGUCUUAUACAG